CACGUAGGGGGCGAGCGUUGUCCGGAUUCAUUGGGCGUAAAGCGCGCGCAGGCGGCUCGGAAAGUCGGGUGUGAAAACCUGGGGCUCAACCCCGGGCGUGCAUCCGAUACUGCCAGGCUUGAGGCAGGUAGGGGAGAUCGGAAUUCCUGGUGUAGCGGUGAAAUGCGCAGAUAUCAGGAGGAACACCGGUGGCGAAGGCGGAUCUCUGGGCCUGUCCUGACGCUGAGGCGCGAAAGCUAGGGGAGCAAACGGG
rnacentral:rRNA from 1 species